UUAACACAUGCAAGUCGAGGGGCAGCAUGUUCUUAGCUUGCUAAGGCCGAUGGCGACCGGCGCACGGGUGAGUAACACGUAUCCAACCUGCCGUCUACUCUUGGACAGCCUUCUGAAAGGAAGAUUAAUACAAGAUGGCAUCAUGAGUCCACAUGUUCACAUGAUUAAAGGUAUUCCGGUAGACGAUGGGGAUGCGUUCCAUUAGAUAGUAGGCGGGGUAACGGCCCACCUAGUCUUCGAUGGAUAGGGGUUCUGAGAGGAAGGUCCCCCACAUUGGAACUGAGACACGGUCCAAACUCCUACGGGAGGCAGCAGUGAGGAAUAUUGGUCAAUGGGCGAGAGCCUGAACCAGCCAAGUAGCGUGAAGGAUGACUGCCCUAUGGGUUGUAAACUUCUUUUAUAAAGGAAUAAAGUCGGGUAUGGAUACCCGUUUGCAUGUACUUUAUGAAUAAGGAUCGGCUAACUCCGUGCCAGCAGCCGCGGUAAUACGGAGGAUCCGAGCGUUAUCCGGAUUUAUUGGGUUUAAAGGGAGCGUAGAUGGAUGUUUAAGUCAGUUGUGAAAGUUUGCGGCUCAACCGUAAAAUUGCAGUUGAUACUGGAUAUCUUGAGUGCAGUUGAGGCAGGCGGAAUUCGUGGUGUAGCGGUGAAAUGCUUAGAUAUCACGAAGAACUCCGAUUGCGAAGGCAGCCUGCUAAGCUGCAACUGACAUUGAGGCUCGAAAGUGUGGGUAUCAAACAGGAUUAGAUACCCUGGUAGUCCACACGGUAAACGAUGAAUACUCGCUGUUUGCGAUAUACUGCAAGCGGCCAAGCGAAAGCGUUAAGUAUUCCACCUGGGGAGUACGCCGGCAACGGUGAAACUCAAAGGAAUUGACGGGGGCCCGCACAAGCGGAGGAACAUGUGGUUUAAUUCGAUGAUACGCGAGGAACCUUACCCGGGCUUAAAUUGCAGAUGAAUUACGGUGAAAGCCGUAAGCCGCAAGGCAUCUGUGAAGGUGCUGCAUGGUUGUCGUCAGCUCGUGCCGUGAGGUGUCGGCUUAAGUGCCAUAACGAGCGCAACCCUUGUUGUCAGUUACUAACAGGUUCCGCUGAGGACUCUGACAAGACUGCCAUCGUAAGAUGUGAGGAAGGUGGGGAUGACGUCAAAUCAGCACGGCCCUUACGUCCGGGGCUACACACGUGUUACAAUGGGGGGUACAGAGGGCCGCUACCACGCGAGUGGAUGCCAAUCCCAAAAACCUCUCUCAGUUCGGACUGGAGUCUGCAACCCGACUCCACGAAGCUGGAUUCGCUAGUAAUCGCGCAUCAGCCACGGCGCGGUGAAUACGUUCCCGGGCCUUGUACACACCGCCCGUCAAGCCAUGGGAGCCGGGGGUACCUGAAGUGCGUAACCGCGAGGAGCGCCCUAGGGUAAAACUGGUGACUGGGGCUAAGUC
rnacentral:rRNA from 1 species